rnacentral:miRNA from 1 species
AAUACAAGACACCCAGCUAAAUUUGAAUUUCAGAUAAAAUGUGCUUUGUAGUCUAAGUAGGCUCUUUGCCAUAUUUGGGACAUAUUUAUGCUAAAAAAAUUAAUCUUUAUUUACCUAAAUUUCAAAUUUAACUGGCAUCUCAAUUUU